UAGCUUAGAUGGUAAAGAAUCUGCCUGCAAUGCAGGGGAACCAGGUUCGAUCCCUGG
rnacentral:tRNA from 1 species